rnacentral:rRNA from 1 species
UGGGGAAUAUUGGACAAUGGGCGCAAGCCUGCUCCAGCCAUGCCGCGUGAGUGAUGAAGGCCCUAGGGUUGUAAAGCUCUUUCACCGGUGAAGAUAAUGACGGUAACCGGAGAAGAAGCCCCGGCUAACUUCCUUCCAGCAGCCGCGGUAAUACGAAGGGGGCUAGCGUUGUUCGGAUUUACUGGGCGUAAAGCGCACGUAGGCGGACUAUUAAGUCAGGGGUGAAAUCCCGGGGCUAAACCCCGGAACUGCCUUUGAUACUGGUGGUCUUGAGUUGGAGAGAGGGGAGUGGAAUUCCGAGUGUAGGAGUGAAACUCGUAGAUAUAAGUAGGAACACCAGUGGCGAAGGCGGGUCACUGGGUAGAUACUGACGCUAAGGUGCGAAAGCGGGGGGAGCAAACAGU